rnacentral:rRNA from 1 species
AUUGAACGCUGGCGGCAUGCCUUACACAUGCAAGUCGAACGGCAGCGGACCUUCGGGUGCCGGCGAGUGGCGAACGGGUGAGUAAUGCAUCGGAACGUGCCAUUGAGUGGGGGAUAACGUAGCGAAAGUUGCGCUAAUACCGCAUAUUCUGUGAGCAGGAAAGCAGGGGACCGCAAGGCCUUGCGCUCUUUGAGCGGCCGAUGUCAGAUUAGCUAGUUGGUGAGGUAACGGCUUACCAAGGCGACGAUCUGUAGCGGGUCUGAGAGGAUGAUCCGCCACACUGGAACUGAGACACGGUCCAGACUCCUACGGGAGGCAGCAGUGGGGAAUUUUGGACAAUGGGGGGCAACCCUGAUCCAGCCAUGCCGCGUGAGUGAAGAAGGCCUC